AUACAGAGGGUGCGAGCGUUAAUCGGAUUUACUGGGCGUAAAGGGCACGUAGGCGGUUGUAUGAGUGUGAUGUGAAAGCCCCGGGCUCAACCUGGGAAGUGCAUCGCAAACGAUACGACUGGAGUUUAAGAGAGGAGUGUGGAAUUUCCGGUGUAGCGGUGAAAUGCAUAGAGAUCGGAAGGAACAUCAGUGGCGAAGGCGGCACUCUGGCUUAAAACUGACGCUGAGGUACGAAAGCGUGGGUAGCAAACAGGAUUAGAAACCCCAGUAGUCC
rnacentral:rRNA from 1 species